rnacentral:rRNA from 1 species
CCUACGGGAGGCAGCAGUGAGGAAUAUUGGUCAAUGGCCGGAAGGCUGAACCAGCCAAGCCGCGUGAAGGACGAAUGUCCCAAGCAUUGUAAACCUCUUUUGUCAGGGGACAAAAUCAGGCACGAGAGCAUGACUGAGGGUACCGCAUGAAUAAGCAUCGGCUAAUUCCGUGCCAGCAGCCGCGGUAAUACGGAGGAUGCGGGCGUUAUCCGGAUUUAUUGGGUUUAAAGGGUGCGUAGGCGGGCUGUUAAGGGGGCGGUAAAAUCCUGGGGCUCAACCGCGGCGUGCCGUUGAAACUGGCUGUCUUGAGAGGGCGAGAGGCAUGCGGAAUGCGCAGUGUAGCGGUGAAAUGCUUAGAUAUUGCGAAGAACUCCGAUUGCGAAGGCAGCAUGCCGGCG